AGCGCAGAAAAUGGCCUGAACGG
rnacentral:piRNA from 1 species